rnacentral:sRNA from 1 species
UCUCGUGUCGUGCCCCUUUAUCGAAGUG